ACAGAGGUGCCGAGCGUUAGGCGGAAUCACUGGGCUUAAAGCGUGUGUAGGCGGAUGGGUAAGUACCUUGUGAAAUCCCACGGCUCAACCGUGGAACUGCUCGGUAUACUGCUCGUCUUGAGCCAACUAGGGGCGACCGGAACAAACGGUGGAGCGGUGAAAUGCGUAGAUAUCGUUUGGAACGCCGAUGGUGAAAACAGGUCGCUGGGGUUGUGCUGACGCUGAGACACGAAAGCCAGGGGAGCGAACGGGA
rnacentral:rRNA from 1 species